ACAGCCUUCCUCGGAGCCUGCGAGAGUCUUUCCCGUUGCGGUUUUCAGAUAAUUUGGCCAUCAGUACUCUCUUCUAAAACUGACAUAAUCUGAAAGAACCUGACUCUGGCAAAAUUAGGAAUUCCUAAUUUUACAGAAAGUUGGAGAUAUUGAUUAACUUAUAGUUCAGAAGAGGUGAGAAGGGUCCUACCGGAUGAGAGCCAUCAGAGAUCUUUCUAAACCAGCAACAUCCAAGAAAAGAUUCAAAAGAUAAGAAGAAACAACCCUGAAAAGAACCAGAAGAGGUUGAAAAAACGGCCUCCAGUCUGAUAGCAUAUAUGACCAGUAUGUGGAUCAGAGCUGAGACAAGUCAGAUGUAUUCGCACAAAGGUGUUAUAUCGUAAGUCUUCCUGAAUACAAACGAGAAGAUAUUAUAUAGAUGAUGCUCUAACCCUAGCAAGAAGGAAAGGAAAAUUUUUCAAAGAGGAACCAAAAGUGAGAAAGAAAGAGAAGGCCAGGAGGUCAAAUAUCACGGAAGUUCUGCAGAGGAGUCACAAAGAGUUCUCAAUUCAAUCCAGAAAAUAUUCUAAGUCCUGAGAAGGUGCAAAAAUUGGGAAAGGGAAGGUUAGUAUAGUAUACCAAAAUGAAAAACACAACAUCUCUGCAUGACGGAAGGGACAUGGAGAGAAUACCACUAAGUAAAAUGGAAAGCAAACUGUGAGAACAUGAUUCUAUUGGUGAUACAAAUUCAGAGACAUGGGAACACAGGGAAAGAAAGCUUGCACUGAAAAUGCUUUCUAAAGUAGAGGGUAGAUGAACAAGCUCUUUAAGGAUACUUAAAUUGUAACAAAAGUAAGUUACUUCAAAUAGAUGGGAAAAGAUGAACUACUACACAUGAGUGGAAAAGUACAGCUUGGAUUCUGGAAAAGAUGACUAGUCAGAUAUGGCUGCCGUCGCAAGUGUAUUUAGAAAUCAAAACAGAAACAAGGGCUAGUUCAAACUCAUGGAGGGCCUCGAAUGCCAUCAGGAAAUCUGGACUUUGAUCUAUCUGCUUUCAAAAGUCAUUGAAAAUUUUACAAGAGGUUGCAAAAAGAUCCACGGUUUUAGAAAGUAAUAUUUUGCUAUAUAUUAGUCCCUUCUCAUCCACUGGUGAUAAGACCUGCAGUAGAUGCGUGAAACUCUGGGUGGUACUGAACCCAAUGUACACUGCAUUUUCUCAGUCUGAUAACUGAGACAUCUAUUAAGAAACUAACGAGUAGGCAGAGUGCACAGUGAGGAUACUCUGGACAAAGGAAUGAUUCACAUCCCGGGUAAGACAGACUGGGAUGACAUGAGAUUUCAUUAUGCUACUCAGAGCUUUGUGCGACUUAAAACAUAAAUUGUUUAUUUCUGGAAUUUUUCAUUUAACAUUUUUAGAGUGCAAUUGUGGGUAACUGAGACCGCAGAAGGGAAAACUAUGGAUAAAGAGAAACUUACCCUUAGAAGGUAAGUGGAAAAAGAUAAAGCCUAAAUUCAAGGAGAUCACUUUGAAGGCCACUGACAUCAUCCAGAGAGGAAAACGUAAACCACAGCAACAGAGAAAAAGACACGGAUGUAAGAUGUUUGAGAAAGAGAACCAAAGUCACUCAACAGUGGAUUGAUGUGGAGUGUUCCUUAGAAUAAGAGAAUAAGGAAGUCUCAGGCUUUAAGUCUAGGCAGCUAGAAAGAUUUUGAAGCCAGAGUGGCAGAGAUCACAGAGAUGAAGACAAGUUCUCAUUAAUUCCCAUACAUUGCCUACUUGCCACACAUUGUUAAAGGACAAAAUUGUUCUAGUGUUCACUGUUUAUAAAUGUUUUAGUUUAUUAUUUAAAUAAAGAGUAGGGAGAUCAAAAAUAUGUGAUUUCAUACCCCAACUUAUUUAAAUUUACAACAAAAAUCCAAAAGUCACAUAAUGCCUCUAUGUCUUAGGGUUUUCAUUGGUAAAAUAAAAGGGCUGGACCAUGAGGAGUUUCUAAGGUCCAUUUUAGAUCUAAAGUUUAUGAUCUUGGGUCUUGUCACUAGUUAAGGAUAAGUGCUAUAAGUAAUAUCCAGGGGACGUCUGAUAACCAGGUAGUCUAGUUUAUGAAAGAUAUGGAAACUGUUCACAAUUAUGUAAUAUCUAAAGUAAUGGAAGGGGAUGAGAUAGAAUUCUAUAUAGAGAGAUGAGGGAUGAAUGCUGAGAACAGAUCCAUGGAGAAUCAGUAUAUCCUAUCUUGUGGAAUGCCACCUCUAUCUAUCCCGUUACCCAAACUAGAAGAAACAUAGACGUCUUUGACUCCCUCCUCUUCCUUACUCUCAUCAUUCUAACACCAAAUCCGACUGAUAAUACUUCCAGUCCAUCCACUUCUUUCCAUGCCACUGCCAUUUGUCUAACACGGGCUAUCAUCAUGUCUAAUACAAAUGAUUUAAAUAGCCUCUUUUUACAAAUUAAAUUUUUUAAAAAUAAAAGUUAUUUUUAAAAGUAAAGUGUAUACAUACAUGGCACAAAAAAAUGUUAAAUUACCAAAAGGUAUACAAUAAAAUGUAUCCCUCCCACCCCUGAGCUGUACUGAAUGGAUAUGCCAUAAUUAUUUCACUGGUUCCAAUUAAUGGGCACAUCCCUGAUUCACAAUCCUUGGCUUUUACAAAUGUUGCAAUAAACAACCUUUCAUAUACCUUAUUUCUCACAUUUGCAAAUAUAUCUGUGGGCUAACCUAAGUGUAAAACGUAUUUAAUUCUCUAUUUCAUUGGAUGGUAUCUAUUGACUCCAUAGUAUCAACAACGAUUAAAUAAAUUAGUCUAUUUCCAUUUGAUUUUCACUUCCUUCUUACUCCAGUACCUAAUGUUAGUGAAUUGUAAGAUGUAUCUUAGUACUUGUCUUUAAAGUUUUAAAUAUAUUUACCUUCAAUUAUUUCAUUUAUAUUUUAAAUAAUUUUGGCUUCUAAUUAUAAAAAGUGUUUACACUACCUCCCAUUUUCCCCCCUUCCCAUCUUUUGUUUGUUGUAUUAUUUCCACUUUGUCAGAGUUUAUAAAAUAAAUUCCUAACUGUAAUCCCCAUGUUUAUUUUUACCUUAAUCACACAUUAAAUCAUACUGGUACAUCACUGCCACUGUUUUUGCCAUAAUUUCUCCAUUUACCUGUGGUUGUUGAGGUUUUCCAUCUGCUAUAAAAAUUCAUGAAAGUUCUAUUCUCUAGGUUUUUGCAUAGUCAAAGAUAUCUGCUACCUUUUUACUAGAAGGAUAACUUAUCUGGAAAUGCAUUUCUGGAUCCACACUUUCUCUCCUUGAGGAAUUUUAAGCAUUAUUUCAUUGUUUUCUAGCAUUGAUCGUUGCUGUGGAGAAGUCUGAGCCAGUCUGAAUUUGUUUUCUUACAUGCAAUUAGGAUUUUUUGCCUCGUUGCAUAAAAGAGUCUUAAUCUUUGAAUACUAAUUUUGCUUGAAUAUAACAUAAAUGUUAACAAUGUCGUGUCAAGUUUUCCUAGGAUACCAUUUCCAUACAUACAUCCAAGACAUUUUUUGUUUCUAGAAAAUAUUUUUGAAUUAUAUAUUUAAGUAUUACAUUUAGUCCAUGGAAUCUAUACUCACUGUUUUAUAUUCGUCCUCCUAUCUUUCCUAUCAAUUAUUUUUGU